GUCAACCACAAUGUUUGCCCAACAUCUUGCUCAUCUCGGCGAACACUGUGGGACAAAUUAUGGGUGUGAAAAUAGUGAUGAAAAGCAAAGGUGCAUGCUUGAUCUGUAGACUUGUAGUAGUUUCCCUAGUAGCUAGAAAUCAACAACAUCCAGAGUCUCUGAUUGUAAUCGAAUGGUUUACCCUUUUGUCGUUGAGGUGGAUGGCUCAUCCUAUUGUGGGUGUGUUGGGUGCUAUUACAAGCUAGGAUAUAUACUCAUAUGUUCACUAUUUCUGCCUUUGUUUUCCAAGAGUAACUUGUCAAAUCUGUAUGUGAAUCUUUGGAGAAGUUCCACACGGUGAUUGAAGAAUGUGGAUAGUUAAGAUGAUGUUCACCCACCCUGCUCUGCUACGAAAGCCUGAAAAAUGAAAGAUACAUGCAGGCAUGUCAGCUUAGGGCUAGACUGAUAUAUAACUGUUGAGGAUAACUUGUACAUGUUGAGCUUUCCUGUCACAUUUACUGAAAACGUAAAACAGACAAUCAAUUAAACAGGCCCUCUUACUUUUAGCAAAAUAAUCAAACAAAUUGUUUGCUUGGGUAUCAACUCAUUCCAAUUUCCUUGCGUCUCUUCCUCCUAUAGAAGCCAACGAGCACGAGCACGAGUUGAGACACAAAGCCAUCAGUGGCCUCAAGAUUGCUGUUGAACUUUGUGGUGAGCUAAAACUGAUUAUUGUGCAUAAUAAUUUCUAGUAGCAGUAACUGAACUAUUUUGGUCGCUGAUCUCAGAAGAGGUUAAGGCUAAUCACCCAAAGAUUAUCAGCUUGCUGGGGUUGUUGCGGUUGAAGUCACAGGAGGGCCAACCAUCGACUUUGUUCCAGGAAGAAUGGAUUGCGCAGAUUCUCCUGAUGAAGGACGCCUUCUUGAUGCAAAUCAAGGUGCCGGAAAUUUGAGAGAAAUCUUUUACAGAAUGGGGCUUUCUGACAAGGAUAUUGUCGCGCUUUUAGGAGGCCACACUCUGGU